rnacentral:piRNA from 1 species
UGCCCCCAGAUUAUUUCGAAA